GUUGAACGCUGGCGGAAUGCUUUACACAUGCAAGUCGAACGGUAGAGGGGGCAACCCCUUGAGAGUGGCGAACGGGUGAGUAAUAUAUCGGAACGUGCCCAGUCGUGGGGGAUAACGUAGCGAAAGUUACGCUAAUACCGCAUACGAUCUAAGGAUGAAAGCGGGGGAUCGCAAGACCUCGCGCGAUUGGAGCGGCCGAUAUCAGAUUAGGUAGUUGGUGGGGUAAAGGCUCACCAAGCCAACGAUCUGUAGCUGGUCUGAGAGGACGACCAGCCACACUGGAACUGAGACACGGUCCAGACUCCUACGGGAGGCAGCAGUGGGGAAUUUUGGACAAUGGGGGAAACCCUGAUCCAGCAAUGCCGCGUGAGUGAAGAAGGCCUUCGGGUUGUAAAGCUCUUUUGUCAGGGAAGAAACACCGGCUCUAACACAGUCCGGGAAUGACGGUACCUGAAGAAUAAGCACCGGCUAACUACGUG
rnacentral:rRNA from 1 species